rnacentral:rRNA from 1 species
CAGCCGCCACGGUAAUACGGAGGGUGCAAGCGUUAUCCGGAUUUAUUGGGUUUAAAGGGUCCGUAGGCGGACUUAUAAGUCAGUGGUGAAAGCCUGUCGCUUAACGAUAGAACUGCCAUUGAUACUGUAAGUCUUGAGUAUAUUUGAGGUAGCUGGAAUAAGUAGUGUAGCGGUGAAAUGCAUAGAUAUUACUUAGAACACCAAUUGCGAAGGCAGGUUACCAAGAUAUAACUGACGCUGAGGGACGAAAGCGUGGGUAGCGAACAGGAUUAGAUACCCGUGUAGUCCCUGUCUCUUAUAC